rnacentral:lncRNA from 1 species
UACCUGGCUGCAGUUUGGGGGUGUAAAGUAAAACUAUAAAAAUUAUUGACCUUUUCAAUAAUUAUUAUCUUUUUUAAGGGUUUAAAAAUUUUUAGCUGUAACAUACAGCUAAUGUAACGUAAGCUUUGCCCAUUUACCAAUGAAUGAUACCCAUGUAUAAACCGAAUAACGGUACAAAUUCACGCCUAUGAACUGACAUCACAAGAAAUAUACGAUUGAAUUUGAAUGUGUCAAUUAAUGCAACAAACUGAUGCUGUAUUUACUUUCUGGAGUGGGAGUGAGGAGUGUGGAUUCCUCCCACUCCAGUGUUUACUUCAACUAAUUAGGGAAUGAUUGAGAAUCCCACUCCGUGGGCCCCACCUAUUUUUGGAGUGGAGAGUGGGAAUCCACUCCCACCUCUCCCUUUUCUACCCUUUUUUUAAAA